CCUACGGGUGGCAGCAGUGGGGAAUUUUGCGCAAUGGGCGCAAGCCUGAUCCAGCGACUCCGCGUGUGGGAUGAAGGCCCUCGGGUUGUAAACCACUGUAGGAGAGAACGAAAAGGAGCUGUCGAAAAAAGAGCUCUGCUGACGGUACUCUCAGAAGAAGCACCGGCUAACUACGUGCCAGCAGCCGCGGUAAUACGGAGGGUGCGAGCGUUAAUCGGAAUUACUGGGCGUAAAGGGCGUGCAGGCGGCAGAGUAAGUCAGAUGUGAAAUCCCCGCGCUUAACCUGGGAACCGCCUAUGUGACUGGUUAGCUAGAGUGCGUGAGAGGGUAGUGGAAUUCCACGUGUAGCAGUGAAAUGCGGAGAUAUGUGGAAGAACACCGAUGGCGAAGGCAGCCUCCUGGGACGCAACUGACGCUGAUGCACGAAAGCGUGGGGAGCAAACAGGAUUAGAUACCCGUGUAGUC
rnacentral:rRNA from 1 species